CUGUGUAGGUGAAAAGAUAAGGGCUAUUAUUAAUUUUAUAUUGUCCUAUCUAAUCACUUGCAUUGAAUAUAGCCAAAUGCUUUCUGUGUCCUUGGUAGCUUUUAUAGCCAACAGGCUAUAAAAGUCAACAAGGCUGAAAGGAUUGGGUUACUUGUUUAGAGAGUGGUGCUUUAGCACCGCAUUGUGUUUUCUUUGUGUCAAUGUGAACGAACUUGCCCUGAAGUAAUUCUGGGCAAUAGAGUCACUUUAUGUAGUUUACAGAGGUAUGUGGGGAAAUGAAGCAUCCUCCAAAGUGACAUCCAUGCAGCUCCAUUGCUUUGAAUAUGAUUGUACUCUUGUAAUUAAGGCUUCUGGACUAACACUUUGUGAUUUAAUUUUCUAUCCCUGAUGUAAAAAGAGUUCAAUAUUUUCCUUUCAAUAUUUUCUUUCCUAGUGCCCUGAUACUAAUGUACUUAGGUGUGAGCCACAGGAAAGCAUGAAUUUUGAGAUGGAGCAAGGAAUAUUGCAAAUUAAUAUGAAUUUCUGAAAGGCAGAUUGAGAGCUAAAGUGCCAGAACCUCAUCUGACGGACUGAGCAUUGCCCAUGGGGUCAUGCCAAUUUCCAAUUUAUAGCUAUAGGUUGUUUUUCAGUCCAGCAAAAUACACACAGCUUCGCUAUGGAUGAAAAGAUUCUGCAGAAAAGUAAGAGAAAGCUAAAAUCGGAGGCCCAAUUUGACAUUAUAAAAGCAGGCAUAUGUCUAUUCUACCCACGACACUUCAUUAAAGAGCUGAGUGUAUUGUCUGGGAAGGAUAGAGAGAAACACAGUACAUCUAGAGAGAAAUACAGCAGUACAUCUUUCAUCUUCACCGCAGCUGCAGAAUGCCCUCCCGAGGCCUCCUUUUACUACAUGUAAAAUGGUGAUGCAAGCAGAUGGAGAUGCAAGCAGUGAAUCUCUUUCAUUACAUCCUGGAACAUCUGCCACUGAAAAGACUUGCUAAAGAAACAGCACUGAAAAUAAAAGUUCUGGCUUCUUCAUGUUGAAAGAAAUUUAUACCCCUGUCUUUGGCCUGCCUCUGCAUCCCUGAAGGCACAGUUAUGGGAUAUCUACAUGAUCCCCUUCGGUAAAUACAGUGGAAAAUUAAAAAUUUCCUGGGGGCUUCUUCAGUUUACUAUAUAUACAGGAACCUUAAAUAUAGAAAAGGCCCUCUCUGACAGGUGGAAGAAGUCCUGCAUAUUCCUCUUCCUAUUCCCUAAAUGCAAGAAUACCUUGGCAGCACAUCUGUGAUACGUGCUGAAUUUAUUGCCCUAAAGGCAUGGCUGAGGAAAGCUAUAUGCUUUUCAGUAAUCACCUGGACCCAGAGAGGUUUUUGUUCGCCAUAGAGGUUUCAGCUGGAUGGCUCCUCAGACACAAGCCUGGUGCCACCUGCUUCCUGCGGCGCCUUCCAAAAAGGAGGACACUAAUGAAUGGUUGGGCCAAAGAACUUUCAUACUGGUGAGAAGAGCUGGUGUGCCAUGUAUUGCUUUUAUUCAUUUUCUUCCAAGAACUGAUUUAUGUUAGCAUUGCAUCUCUACUGCUUUCAUUGUAGCAGAGAAGUAGGCCUGGACUUGCUCUUGUUAAUGGCUAGCUAGCAAUUGCUGUCAAAUCUUUUUUGGUGAGCGAAGUAUCUAGACUGAGACAUAAACCAGCAAAAUUGGUGCUUGACUCUUUGCCUGUUGAUAAAUGAGAGAGAGGUUCAGAAGUUCAACAACUGUCAUCUGGCUAGGAAAAUUCUAUAUAUUGAGAGCAAUUGAGCUGUGCUGAUUGCUCACUUUUUAGCCUCACGUGAUUCUCAGACAAAGGUACUGUAGACAAAUCCUUCCUGGUGCAGCUCUUGCUUGUUCUCAUGCUUUGCUGUCUAACCACAAACUCCCAACCCUAGCUGAAAAGAGAUAUAAUUAAAUUCAAUGUAAAAUACAAUUUUCUGAUUUUUCAAAGGUGCCUAUUUAAAUUACAUUAAAGCUCUUGAAUUUGCA